GGUCCCAUAACUCAGUUGGUUAGAGUGUCGUACUAAUAGUAUAGGGUCAUCUGCCCCAUAACAUUAAGUAAAUGCGAAAGUCGUGAGUUCAAGCCUCACUGGGACCA